rnacentral:lncRNA from 1 species
AAACCUGAGGACAAACCCAAGUCUCCUCUUGACUUAGUUAAGCCAAGUCCAAUAGUGUAUUCAGACGAGGAAAGUGAUGAGGAAUAUGGUGUUCCCAGACCCCAAGAAAAGCCCGCUAGCCAGCCAAUUCCUUCGGCAGUUCCUUCUGUAGUGGUUGCAGAUAAAUCUCCGCUUAAACCUGAAGAUACACCUAAACCAUUUGACUUGAAAGACGACAAGGUCCCAGCUAAACCUGAGGGCAAUCCCAAGUCUCCUCUUGACUUAGUUAAGCCAAGUCCAAUAGUGUUUUCAGACGAGGAAAGUGAUGAGGAAUAUGGGGUUCCCAGACCCCAAGAAAAGCCCGCUAGCCAGCCAAUUCCUUCGGCAGUUCCUUCUGUAGUGGCUGCAGAUAAAUCUCCGCUUAAACCAGUAGAUAAACCUAAACCAUUUGACUUGAAAGACGACAAGGUCCCAGCUAAACCUGAGGGCAAACCCAAGUCUCCUCUUGACUUAGUUAAGCCAAGUCCAAUAGUGUAUU